CUUGAACUGGACGUUGAUUCUAAGGUUUGUCAUCAUCUUCCGUCUCCGACACCGAACUCGCGUCUCUGCAAAAACACAGCUAAGAAUAACGGUGAUGGGAAUCACUUUACUUCUCAUUGAUUAGAAGGUAUUAUCUGUCAUCUUACGCUAAGAAGCAUCAUAUAUUCAAUCUCUAUUUCAUUUUUUGGAAAGCCCUAUUAUUUAACUCUUAUAAGAUAUAACUUUUAUGUAGGAUUCGGUGGUAUGAUUCGGUGAUCAAAGGAAUCAGUAUUCUUAACAAAAUCAUCUCCAACUCUAACGAGCAGCCGCUAUGGCUGCAGCUUCUAUGGUUUUCAGAGAAGUUGAUUCUGAGUACCCGCUUUUGCUGCUGGCAAUAGCUAAGAGUGUGAUGCAGUUUACCAUUCAGUACAGAGGAAAUUGCAGUGAUUCUCUUUCUUCAUCUCUCUGUCCUUUAUACUGCUCCUACGUACUCUGGUUACAAGGACGAGCUUAUGUGGGGUGCGGCAUGGCUGCUGAAAGCAACCAAUGAUUUGUAUUACAAAAACUUCAUAGAAUCUCUAGGAGAUGGAGAUCAGCCUGACAUCUUCAACUGGGACAGCAAAUAUGCUGGCGCAUAUGUUCUUCUUUCACAGCGAGCAUUACUUAACAAAGACAUCAACUUUGAACUAUGCAAGAUCCUCCCAGACGCAAGAUCCUCCCAGACGCUCCCUCUAAGUCUACCCAUUACACUCAAGGAGGCUUGAUGUACAAGUUACCUCAGAGCAACCCACAAUAUAACCGCCAUAACAUUCUUGCUCACAACCUACGCCAAGUACAUGAAAGCCACACAACACACAUUCGAAUGCGGAAACUCUGCAACCAUCGUCCCCAACGCCUUGAUAAGGGUAUCGAAGAAACAAGUGGAUUACAUACUCGGCGCUAACCUAAUAAAGAUGUCGUAAAUGGUUGGGUUCAGGCCGAGUUUCAACACCAGUGAAACUCCAUUAGUUGAAGGGAAAGUUGGCCAAGCAUCCGCUCCCAUUUCUUCCAGCAACACGGCUGCAGCUGGUGGUGGCAAAGAAAGUGGAAGCAAACGCCCUGUGAGUGAGGUUUUAAGCUGUGAAGCCGGUCAACCCAACAUACUUUCAUCAUUUUACAAUUUUCUAAAUUGUUAUGCUUUACCUAUUUUGGACCUUUUAAUGCUUUCCCUAUUUUCAUGUUUUGUUUUUUUCAACCAAUUACGGCAUUACCUCUCAUGAGGAGAAUAGUUUCUAAGAUUUAAUAUAAAAUA